UGGGACUCUGCCACCCAGCUCCCUGGCCCCUGGGAGAAGCCAUGGCAGAUAUUUGGGAUGAGGCAGCAUGCUGGUCCCUCAGCAGCAUCCUUAUCACGUCAGCUGUGGGGACCUCUGAGGGUCUAUUUGAGGGCAUGAAUAUGGAAAAUUCAGCUCCAGCUCCUCCACCCCACUCCCUGAACAGCACUGCAGAACUGUGCUAAGCUCCUGUGGCUUGGAAAGAACAGAUGCAAG
rnacentral:lncRNA from 1 species